rfam:Ciona savignyi cont_61769, whole genome shotgun sequence.
GCUUAUCACCAUUCCAGAUUGAAUAUACCCGAUCUCGUCUGAUUUCGGAAGUCUAGCAAUCUCGGGCUUGGUUAGUACUUGGAUGGGUGACCGCUUGGGAAUACCAAGUGUGAUAAGCA